ACGUACACAUUUCCGGAUAGAGCGUCCGCUAGCGGCGUCACAGCGAAUAAUCAUGCAUUUGUUUUUUAAUCCAUAAAUGUAUAUUUAUAUUCAUACUAAGUUUUCUUUUCUAUAUGUGAUACACAUUCUCUUAAUCAUUAAUAUUUUAUUUCUCAUCAAACAACAUUCCUUCAAAAUGGCUCCAGUCCAGAUGUGGCCAUAGUUACUAUGCAUUUGGUCUCCUGUCAGCAGCUGAGGUGAAAACAGGCUUUCGCCUGAAGGGAAAACAGAGCAAGAAGUGAACUUUCUAACAAGCCAGAGAAGAGUAGGGAAAGAUGUCCCUGAACGCGAGGAACAACAACCCCAUUCAGGUUCAAACUCUCCCUCUGGCUCCUGUGAGAUAUGCAGAUGCUUUGAACACAUCCACAAGCUACAGCUGUUUGUGGCCAAGCACUGCAUUAUUAAUCAUGACAAUUCCCUUUUUCAGUUUCUGAGGUUUACUUGAACCGCAGCCGAGGGAGAAUCCUUGAGUGUGUGCGAGUUUGAGGGUCCGUGUCUCCCUUUAAGGCAAAGCCGAAGAAAUCUCAUUAAUAUCUGAGGGUGAGACACCACUGCAGGUGAAUACAAACACAAACACCUGCCAGAGUGGGCUUUCCUUGAGUGAUGGCUCUCACAGCGAGAAUGAAAGGACCCGAUCUUCUUAUUUUCCCAGCAUGUGGAAAAUCUGAGCUGUUUUUUCGAGGCUCAAGUCCAGUUGCAUGGAAUCGUGACUAAGUUAAUUCAGUGCUCAUGCAGGGGGGCCGCACGGUCUGAUCGGAUUAAUUCGGUUAUAGAAUCACGGGUAGCAGAAGCUCUUAUGAAACAGAGAGUCUCACACGCAGACCUGCUCUUCCCCGUGUUUAACUAGAAGACAGAGACUCAUAUAAUGCUUAUUACUGGGACUUUAUGAAUUUACAUAAGUCAAGAGGCAUAAAAGGUGAAGGGUUUAUAUUUAAACUGUGUCGUCAUCUCCUCUAAAAAUCUAAUAAGGAAGAGGUGUGAUUAGAUUUCUGUCUGCUGUGUAAAUCGUGAGGGGAUUUCUGAUAAUCUGAUUGAAAUAUUUCAGUUUGGCACUGGCGCUUUAGAUCCAUUUGGUGGGCUCAAGGCUCCAGAUGUGUUGGUUUUGAUACUGUCCUAUUCCUUUAUUGCUAUAAAAACAUCUUUUUGAAUGAUGUUCUCAUCUAAUUUUUCUUCAACAGACCCACUUUAAGUCCUCAUUGGAGGUCUUAAAAUGACAACACAAUGCUUAUACUGUACGGGCCUGCACAAAUACCCACAUUUGCGGUCUUGGCCACUUGAGAGCAUGUGCACAUGACAGGAAGUAAGUGCCAAAGUGCAGUGCCCUGAACACACACUAUAGCUGCGUUCCAUUUGACAGGAUCCCUACGCAGUGUUCACUGCUCCCUACUUACUCCCUAUGCCAUUCGCAGUGCCCUUCGAACUGAACAUGUUCGCUCCCUUCGGAUUGGAAUCUCACUAAAGAUGGCGAAAUACCCUGUGAAGUCCACUUACGGUCAAAUGGAACGCACCUUAUGGCUGUGUUCCAAUUCAGAAACUGCAUCCUUCGAAGGCCACAUUUGAAGGCCGAUUGCGUCACCGCGACGAGACAAAGGCUGUCCCAAUUCGAAGUCUCCUUCAAAUACCCUGUGAAGUACACUUUGCAGUCCACUUACGGUCAAAUGGAACACACAGAUGUCUGUGUUCCAAUUCAGAAACUGCAUCCUUUGAAGGCCGAUUGGGUCACCGCAACGCGACAAAGGCUGUCCCAAUUCGAAGUCUCCUUCAAAUGCAAACUGAACAUGUUCGCUCCCUUCAGAUUGGAAUCUCACUUAAGAUGGUGAAAUACCCUGUGAAGUCCACUUCGCAGUCCACUUACGGUCAAAUGGAACGCGCCUUAUGGCUGCGUUCCAAUUCAGAACCCACAUUCUUCAAAAGCCGUAUUCGAAGGCUGAUUGCGUCACCACAACGAAGGCUGUCCCAAUUCAAAAUCUCCUUCAAAUGCGGCCUCCAAAUGCGUUCUUCGUUUCCCGUGAAAUGGAGAAUACAACAGAUGGAUCCUUUGCAGCUUUGCCUACCCCAGAAUUCAUUGUGCACCAGUGAUGACAGGAUUUUUUUGAGAGAAAUUGCCGAAUUACACAUUUAAACGUAAGUAUUGGGUUUCGACUUACUCAAAUAUCUAAUGAUACAAAUUAGUUCAAAUGUUGACAUAUCUUACUAAGAUGUGAUUAUAUAUAGUUUACACUCUUUAUUAUAUGCAGAAAUGGACCAUGGUGAACAUAUUUAGACAGUUUCUGAACCCUGUUUUGUUUUUAGACCGUUUAAUGUAACUUUAAAAAAAAAAAAAAAGUCCAGUACAAACGUUACUGCCACAUCAAUGGCAGCUGCACAGUUGCUAGGCGACAAGAACAGCCCUCCAUAGGCUAGAAUGUCCCAUGCUCUUCAAAGGCCUUUGAAGUCCGAGUCCUUCGAAGGAUGCAGCCUCUGAAUUGGGACGCAGCCUGUCGCUAAGUGUAUCCCAUCAUGCAUCAUGUUCGGGAACUCACGUACCUCAAAAUAGAGAUGUCAAGGAAAACAUUCCACUGAGUUAAAGUAAUUCGAUAUUACAUUAAAUAAUUGAUAGUAAAACAAAGUGUUGCACAUUUUAUUGGUGCAAAGAUGAGUAUGUGUAUUUUGUACAACAUUUGCAACUGCUUUUUAUCACUUAAUUAGAAGCACCACAAUUUUUAAAUUGUGUCUUCUGUUACAUAGGAACUACAAAACAGACAUUUAGAAGUUUAUUUUAAAAUGCAAAGUAUUGAAAAUCAAAAUAAAGCUGUGUAUUUUUGCAACACUAUAAGCGUGUCCCAUCGGGUAAUCAAAUGUUCUACACAUACUAGCAGUCUUCAUCCCUACUUGAACACUUGGGCCAAAUACAGGGAGUACGUCAUGUAAGUAGACAAGUGGUCAAGUGCAAAGAACGCAAAUGUGGGUAUUAGGACAGGCCCUUUAUUUUUAUAAUUGUCUCUUCAGAAGCAGAUAAAAAUAUAAUUUUAUAACCCAAACAAAUAGAGGAUCCUGAUUUAAAUCUGUAUAAUAGUUUUAAUGAAAUCAGUUUUUUUUCAAUCACAAAGCAACCUAAAGUCAUUUGUUUUCAGUGAACGCUGCUGAUUUAAUUCAACAUGAGCGACAGCUUUAUGUAAAUCUAGAUUUUUUGACCAAUGGUAUUUCACUAUGGGCGGAGCUACAAAACAGGCUGCAUCUGAAAUCACAUACUUCCCUACUAUAUAGUAGGCGAAAAACAGUAUGUGACAAAAGAAGUAUGUCAGAAUUCACAGUACUCAUGAAAGAGGCAAAAAGUAUCCGGAUGACCUACUACUUUCGGUGAGAUUCUGAAGUGUGCAUAUGAUGGAUACGUUACUAUCCCAUGAGGCCACAGGAGAGGAUUUGUGAAUGGCAUCUGACACUGGUAGGUCACAUGGUAAUGACAGCAUGAUGAAUGUAGUACGUCUGGAUUACAUUCAUACUAUAUAGAACAUACUUGUUUUGCUGUUGCAAAUAAAUGACUUGUUCAAAACAUGUACCUACUCAAUAGAGUAUGCGAUUUCGGACACAGCCUUACAUUAAUGGCGAUUUUUCCUUUUACUAUUGAUUGCUACAAGGCGUUCUCAUUGGUUCCCAUCACUGCUUAUUUGCAUAAAUUUGAACUUUACUUUGUUACAUUUUAUAACUAGAGGAGAAAACACUUCCCAUAUUUUUUUAUUAUUGCUGUCAACUCGCUCGUUAAACGCUAAUCAAACCAAGCAGAUGUUUAGGUUGUGUAACACACCUUCAUCCACAAAAAACAUGACCAAAACUAUAUGAAAAUAGGAUAAACAUGGUUUGUGUGGUUAAUAUUGGCUGCUGAGAACAUGAAAUCAAUUCAAGAGACAUUUAAAAACCAUAGACUUAAUUUUGAAUAUUGUCCUCACCUGACAAAAUCUGGCUUUCAAAGCUUCUUCCUGGUGCUCCGCUCUCCAUUAAAGACAAAGUUCUGUGCUGACACCAAAAUGUCAUGUAGAUUUCAUCAUUAAAGGUCACAUAAUGUCUUUAUGGCACCUGAUUCAUUACAGACCCUGUAGAUCAGGGGCCAGAAAAGAGGCGAAACCGAACACUUGAGAAAUGGACGUGUAUAUUUAUUCACACAAGGAUCAGACGGCAUGUUGGACCUGUGGCGGCACAGUUCACACAUACGACAUCAGUCCUCUGAGAGCCCGAAAGAACACUCAUCGUCCUCCGCAAUCCCAGAAUACUUUGCUCUCUACACAUUCACAAGUGAAAGGGUGAAAAAAAAAAUGUCGACAACAACAAACAAGUUUUUUCAGAGCAUAACGCACAGGAGAACAGUGUAGACAGAUUUGCAUUUUAAUACAAAGGCAUAUAUUUUCUUUAGGACAUAAAAUAAAGAUAUUAACUGCACAGCAGUAAGAAAAGGUCGUGUACAGAUUGUUUGUUCAUACACACCAUUGAAACACAAUUUCGGGUCGGUACAAUAAUAAAAACAUUUGUGCUAAUCAAUAAUUCGUUUUGCAUAAAGACCAAACGUAAUGGCAGCUGUCCAGAGGGAACGUUUUGACAUUCUCCUCCGCACAUUUAUUCAGCUCGAGCGUUUUUCCCAAUGCAGUAAAACUCCUAAAAAGCACACGCACACACACUCACCACAAACACCCAAAAGAUCUGCACGGUAUUAAAAACGGCGCUUUUGCUCUAUACAUACAGCAUGUUCAAAUAUAUUGGCAUAUUCUGGCUACAGCACACCUCUGAAUACUGCACUUACUGAUGUCUAACACCACACUUCACGUACGC